GACGGACGCUGGCGGCGUGCUUAACACAUGCAAGUCGAACGGAAGGGCCCUGCUUUUGUGGGGUGCUCGAGUGGCGAACGGGUGAGUAACACGUGAGUAACCUGCCCUUGACUUUGGGAUAACUUCAGGAAACUGGGGCUAAUACCGGAUAGGAGCUCCUGCUGCAUGGUGGGGGUUGGAAAGUUUCGGCGGUUGGGGAUGGACUCGCGGCUUAUCAGCUUGUUGGUGGGGUAGUGGCUUACCAAGGCUUUGACGGGUAGCCGGCCUGAGAGGGUGACCGGCCACAUUGGGACUGAGAUACGGCCCAGACUCCUACGGGAGGCAGCAGUGGGGAAUAUUGCACAAUGGGCGGAAGCCUGAUGCAGCAACGCCGCGUGCGGGAUGACGGCCUUCGGGUUGUAAACCGCUUUCGCCUGUGACGAAGCGUGAGUGACGGUAAUGGGUAAAGAAGCACCGGCUAGCUACGUG
rnacentral:rRNA from 1 species